rnacentral:rRNA from 1 species
CUACGGGCUGCUCCAGUGAGGAAUAUUGCACAAUGGGGGGAACCCUGAUGCAGCAACGCCGCGUGGAGGAUGACGCAUUUCGGUGUGUAAACUCCUUUUAUAUGUCAAGAAAAUGACGGUAGCAUAUGAAUAAGCACCGGCUAACUCCGUGCCAGCAGGCGCGGUAAUACGGAGGGUGCAAGCGUUACUCGGAAUCACUGGGCGUAAAGGACGCGUAGGCGGGUUGGAAAGUCAGGUGUGAAAUCCUACAGCUUAACUGUAGAACUGCACUUGAAACUUCUAAUCUAGAGUAUGGGAGGGGGAGAUGGAAUUAGUGGUGUAGGGGUAAAAUCCGUAGAUAUCACUAGGAAUACCUAAAGCGAAGGCGAUCUCCUGGAACGUUACUGACGCUAAGGCGUGAAAGCGUGGGGAGCAAACAGGAUUAGAUACCCGAGUAGUC